UACGUAGGGUCCGAGCGUUGUCCGGAAUUACUGGGCGUAAAGAGCUCGUAGGUGGUUUGUCGCGUUGUUCGUGAAAACUCACAGCUUAACUGUGGGCGUGCGGGCGGAUACGGGCAGACUGGAGUACUGCAGGGGAGACUGGGAAUUCCUGGUGUAGCGGUGGAAUGCGCAGAUAUCAGGAGGAACACCGGUGGCGAAGGCGGGUCUCUGGGCAGUAAACUGACGC
rnacentral:rRNA from 1 species